rnacentral:lncRNA from 10 species
GGAGCUCUGUGCCGGGCAGGCGCUGGAAUCAAAGGAGGCCAGGCCUGUUUAUUUACUUUCUCCCCUCCUUUUUGGCAAAAGGAGAUCAAAGAACUAAGAACGUCAAUGUUUGUUCUCGGGUUCAAAGAAGUCAGCGUCUUUGGCGGGAGCUGGGCCACCAUCGCCCGGACCACGCUGGGGUGCUAAGUGCUCACAUCCUCCCCAGCACUGUCCUCAACAGCCAAGAGGCAGGCACAGGGGAAAACCCACCAGCAACACCAGCACCACAGCGUCCACACCCGCCGAGGAUGCUGCACAAAAGGCCCAUGGACCAGGGUGCCUGGGGGCAGGGCAUGCUGGGCACCGUCCAUCUUCUGGCAGCUUCUGGUUAACCCGAAAAUCCUGUUUGGUUUUCCUGUGUCUUUUGAGAAUGUCACUCAAACCCCUGAAUCCUCUCUGUGAUCUAAGUGUCAUGAGGCCUGCAAAACCUCGCUUCCUGCAGCAGACUUCUCCGCUUCCUGGCCCCCAUGAAGACUGUUAUCCACAAGUAGCCAGAGGGAUUCUGUAAAAAUCAAAGUCAGGGCAGGGCCCUCCUCUGCUCAAAACCCUCCCAUGGCUCCCUACUUCACUCAGGGAGGAAGCCACGCCCAUAUUGUAGCCUCUUCCACCUCUCACACUCAUUGCACAGGCGGCCACCAAGCCCCUUUCUACCCCAGUGCCUUUGCACUUGCCACCCCCUUACUUCAUUGCAAUCCCUUCUUAGCAGAGAGGCUGACCCUGAAUUCCCUCCUGAAAUAGUGACCCUUCUCAAAUAAGUCUCCCCUCGCCUUGCCUUAUUUGUCUUCAUAUCUGUUCGUCACUACCUGACAUGUUAGAUAUUUAUUAUUUUCUCUCUUGCCGUUGGGCCUAAGUUCCCAGGGCCUCUCAUGUUUCUCCAGCGCCCAGAGGCUGACUGGCUUAUGGAGUGAGCGCAAUCAUUUCCUUUUGUGUGUGAAUAAAUGAAAGAAUCUUGGACCUGACCGCUUCAGACCAAGGGGUUUAGCCCAGGUCUCUGGGACAAUGAGGAUUCUUAAGGAUUUUUCACUGGGGAUUGACAGAACCAAUUGGUUUGGGAGAGAUCACUGCAGCUUCUGAAAGAAGCCACCUGUCCCAUGAGGGCAUGUGCCAUAUGGAAUACAGACAACUUGAUAUCAGUGCCCCCCUCCUCGGAGGGUGGGGGGAGGGGGGCGGGUGUUUCAGGAAUUAAAUCAGAAAAUAUUGGGAUGAGGCUUAGCCCUGUCCUUGGCGCACAGGAAGUACUCAGCCAGUGGUCAUGAUCAGCAUCAGCUGUAGCAUGAACGGACCAUGGAGACAGGUGGGCUUGC